rnacentral:rRNA from 1 species
AGAGUUUGAUCAUGGCUCAGGACGAACGCUGGCGGCGUGCUAAUAUAUGCAAGUCGAACGAACAUCUUCGGAUGUUAGUGGCGAACGGGUGAGUAACACGUAAGUAACCUAGCUAUUAGUCGAGGAUAACUACUGGAAACGGUAGCUAAUACUGGAUAGGAUAGAAAUAUUUAAAGGUGCGAAAGCACCGCUAAUAGAGGGGCUUGCGUCGCAUUAGCUAGUUGGUGGGAUAAGAGCCUACCAAGGCGAUGAUGCGUAGCCGACCUGAGAGGGUGACCGGCCACACUGGGACUGAGACACGGCCCAGACUCCUACGGGAGGCAGCAGUAGGGAAUCUUCGGCAAUGGACGGAAGUCUGACCGAGCAACGCCGCGUGAGUGAAGAAAGUCUUCGGAUUGUAAAGCUCUGUUAUUAGGGAAGAAAAGUUAUGACAGGCAAUGGUCAUAAAUUGACGGUACCUAAUGAGAAAGCCACGGCUAACUACGUGCCAGCAGCCGCGGUAAUACGUAGGUGGCGAGCGUUGUCCGGAAUUAUUGGGCGUAAAGGGUGCGUAGGCGGUCUAUUAAGUCUGAUUUGAAAGGUCAUGGCUUAACCAUGGAAUUGGAUUGGAAACUGGUAGACUUGAGUGCAGAAGAGGAAGGUGAAUUCCACGUGUAGCGGUGAAAUGCGUAGAGAUGUGGAGGAACACCAGUGGCGAAGGCGGCCUUCUGGUCUGUGACUGACGCUGAUGCACGAAAGCGUGGGUAGCAAACAGGAUUAGAUACCCUGGUAGUCCACGCCGUAAACGAUGAGUACUAAGUGUCGGGGGAAACCUCGGUGCUGAAGUUAACGCAUUAAGUACUCCGCCUGGGAAGUACGGUCGCAAGACUGAAACUCAAAUGAAUUGACGG